rnacentral:rRNA from 1 species
UACGUAGGGGGCAAGCGUUGUCCGGAAUCAUUGGGCGUAAAGCGCGUGUAGGCGGCCUGACAGGUCUGCUGUGAAAACUCGAGGCUCAACCUCGAGAUGUCGGCGGAAACCGUCUGGCUAGAGUCCGGAAGAGGAGAGUGGAAUCCUGGUGUAGCGGUGAAAUGCGCAGAUAUCAGGAAGAACACCUAUGGCGAAGGCAGCUCUCUGGGUCCCUACCGACGCUGGGGUGCGAAAGCAUGGGGAGCGAACAGG